rnacentral:rRNA from 1 species
GGGCGGGGAUUAGUGGCGAACGGGUGAGUAACACGUGGGCAAUCUGCCCUGCACUCUGGGACAAGCCCUGGAAACGGGGUCUAAUACCGGAUAUGACUGUCUGCCGCAUGGUGGAUGGUGUAAAGCUCCGGCGGUGCAGGAUGAGCCCGCGGCCUAUCAGCUUGUUGGUGAGGUAGUGGCUCACCAAGGCGACGACGGGUAGCCGGCCUGAGAGGGCGACCGGCCACACUGGGACUGAGACACGGCCCAGACUCCUACGGGAGGCAGCAGUGGGGAAUAUUGCACAAUGGGCGAAAGCCUGAUGCAGCGACGCCGCGUGAGGGAUGACGGCCUUCGGGUUGUAAACCUCUUUCAGCAGGGAAGAAGCGAAAGUGACGGUACCUGCAGAAGAAGCGCCGGCUAACUACGUGCCAGCAGCCGCGGUAAUACGUAGGGCGCAAGCGUUGUCCGGAAUUAUUGGGCGUAAAGAGCUCGUAGGCGGCUUGUCACGUCGGUUGUGAAAGCCCGGGGCUUAACCCCGGGUCUGCAGUCGAUACGGGCAGGCUAGAGUUCGGUAGGGGAGAUCGGAAUUCCUGGUGUAGCGGUGAAAUGCGCAGAUAUCAGGAGGAACACCGGUGGCGAAGGCGGAUCUCUGGGCCGAUACUGACGCUGAGGAGCGAAAGCGUGGGGAGCGAACAGGAUUAGAUACCCUGGUAGUCCACGCCGUAAACGGUGGGCACUAGGUGUGGGCAACAUUCCACGUUGUCCGUGCCGCAGCUAACGCAUUAAGUGCCCCGCCUGGGGAGUACGGCC